GAUGAAGAACGUAGCGAAAUGCGAUAAGUAAUGUGAAUUGCAGAAUUCAGUGAAUCAUCGAAUCUUUGAACGCACAUUGCGCCCCCUGGUAUUCCGGGGGGCAUGCCUGUUCGAGCGUCAUUACAACCCUCAAGCUCUGCUUGGUAUUGGGCCCCGCCAGUUCUGGCGGGCCCUAAAGUCAGUGGCGGUACCUUCCGGCUCCGAGCGUAGUAAUUCUUCUCGCUCUGGAGACCCGGUUGUGUGCUUGCCAACAACCCCCAAUUUUUUAAGGUUGACCUCGGAUCAGGUAGGGAUACCCGCUGAACUUAAGCAUAUCAAUAAGCGGAGGA
rnacentral:misc_RNA from 1 species